AAUUUGACUGUGCAAAGGUAGCAUAAUCAUUAGUUUUUUAAUUAAAAGCUUGUAUGAAUGGUUGGACGAGAUAAAAUCUGUCUCUGUAUAAAAAAUAGAAUUUAAUUUUUAAGUUAAAAAGCUUAAAUUUAUAUAAAAGACGAGAAGACCCUAUAGAUCUUUAUAUAAUUUUUUAUAGUAUUAAUAAAGUAAAUUUAAUUUAUUAUAAAAAAUUAUAUUUUAUUGGGGUAAUAAAAAGAUUAAUAUAAUUCUUUUUUAUAAUACAAUAGUUAUUGAUUUUAUGAUCCAUUAUUAAUGAUUAUAUGAUUAAGUUACCUUAGGGAUAACAGCGUAAUUUUUUUAAAGAGUUCUUAUCAAUAAAAAAGUUUGCGACCUCGAUGUUGGAUUAAAAGUAAUUCUAGGUGCAGAAGUUUAGAGUUUUGGUCUGUUCGACCAUUAAAUUUUUACAUGAUCUGAGUUUAGACCGGCGUAAGCCAGGUUGGUUUCUAUCUUUAUUUAUUUAAUAUAUUUUAGUACGAAAGGACCAAUUAUAUAAUAUAUUAAUAUUUAUUUUUUUGAAUUA
rnacentral:rRNA from 1 species